UAAAAGUCUUCCCCUCUUUGUGGACUUCACAGGAUAUCUACUUUGACCCAGAACAUGCCUACCAGACUCUGAACCUGAUCUGGGAUUUCUUGGCCUUCGGAUCAGGGAGGAUCCACUUAUCCUGUAGCUGUCAAGUACAUUUUCCUCUUCACAAUCUAAUGGCCACCAGACAUCACAGUGGCCCAUCAAACUCACACUCAGUCAUCUCGAGGUCAGACAGAUCUUCCUGGGGAAGAAUUCUGAAACCACCCUGUGCCUGUCUGUCAUCCUUGGACUUCCAGGCAGGUUAAACAUAGGGAUGAAUCUAGAACAGCAGCCAAGACCACAAAUAUCAGAUGUCCAUGAAUGCCUCUGUGGCAAUUUUAAUAAUACACUGCAUUCUGCAAGAAGCCCCCUUUUAUGGUAUAAAUUCGUGGAUGACACAGCUUCCUCUACUAAUGGAGUUGCUGGUCCAUGCACACUUCCCGGCCAGGGAAGACUCUUCAACUGGAACAUUUCAACCAUAAACAUCUCCCAAUCAACAUUCUUGGGCGAAGUGGAAUAUUUGCGUACCCUGGAAAUUAAAUUUCAUCGACAACAAGGUCUGCUCUAUAAAGGCCUCAGUGCAAGAGUGAACAGGUUUUGAGAGCA